rnacentral:lncRNA from 1 species
AUCAGAUUUUGGGCAGAGAGACUGUUGUUUGUCAUUUAUACCCUUCCCACCCAGAGAUGCUCCAUUCCCUGGAGUCUGUCAGAGCUGAGGAAGUGGUGGAACAUGGACAGAUGGACAGACAAACGGAUGGACAGAUAGACAGACAGAUGGGCAGGCUGGGGGAGAGACAGACAUAUCCAUCUGGCAAUCUUCCACUUUGACAAAGUGGAUGAAACAAUUAUCUCCGUUAUCGGCCAAAGCGGUAGACAUGCGAGAGUUGGGGGAUUUCUGCAGGUGGACAGCCUUGGCUAGGAAUCAACACCAAUGGUGAAACGUGCCCAGGAAUGGCUCCCACCUCUCUCUCGCUUGUGACUAUGAGCAUCUGAAGAUGGAUUGUGCAUCCCGACGAGCACUGUGAGUCUUACAUCAUUGUGGCAAGGAGUCAUUUCAGAAGAAGGGGAAGCUGCCGACAGAACAGAGCUG